rnacentral:rRNA from 1 species
AGUGAACGCUGGCGGUAGGCCUAACACAUGCAAGUCGAACGGCAGCACAGUAAGAGCUUGCUCUUACGGGUGGCGAGUGGCGGACGGGUGAGGAAUACAUCGGAAUCUACUUUUUCGUGGGGGAUAACGUAGGGAAACUUACGCUAAUACCGCAUACGACCUACGGGUGAAAGCAGGGGAUCUUCGGACCUUGCGCGAUUGAAUGAGCAGAUGUCGGAUUAGCUAGUUGGCGGGGUAAAGGCCCACCAAGGCGACGAUCCGUAGCUGGUCUGAGAGGAUGAUCAGCCACACUGGAACUGAGACACGGUCCAGACUACUACGGGAGGCAGCAGUGGGGAAUAUUGGACAAUGGGCGCAAGCCUGAUCCAGCCAUACCGCGUGGGUGAAGAAGGCCUUCGGGUUGUAAAGCCCUUUUGUUGGGAAAGAAAAGCAGCAGGUUAAUACCCCGCUGUUCUGACGGUACCCAAAGAAUAAGCACCGGCUAACUUCGUG